rnacentral:ncRNA from 1 species
UAGUGUUAGUUCAUAUAGACAGCAGGACGGUGGCCAUGGAAGUCGGAAUCCGCUAAGGAGUGUGUAACAACUCACCUGCCGAAUGAACUAUUCCUGAAAAUGG